rnacentral:rRNA from 1 species
ACGAGAAUAUUCCGCAAUGGACGAAAGUCUGACGGAGCGACGCCGCGUGAUGGAUGAAGUGCCUUGGUACGUAAACAUCUUUUAUCGGGGACGAAGUUUAUUGACGGUACCCGAUGAAUAAGGGGCUCCUAACUCUGUGCCAGCAGGAGCGGUAAUACAGAGGCCCCAAGCAUUACCCGGAAUCACUGGGCGUAAAGGGUGUCUAGGCGGCCAUAUUAGUCUCUCGUUAGAUGUCCGGGCUCAACCUGGUCACCGCGAGGGAAACGGUAUGGCUCGAGGGCGUAAGAGGUGCAUGGAACUCAUGGUGGAGGGGUGAAAUCCGUUGAUAUCAUGGGGAACACCAAAGGCGAAGGCAGUGCACUGGUACGUUCCUGACGCUCAAACACGAAAGCCAGGGUAG